GUCCAGCUGAGUGUGUCUCAGCCGCUUACAGACUCCCUGCUGAGUCCUGUAAACAGUCGCGACUUGGCCCUGAUCAGCUAGUGAGACUCGCAUUUAUUAGAAUAACCCAGUGGAAAUCUCUCACACAAGAAGUGAUAGAACUACACAUCUGAAUGCAGGACGAUCUGAUUCUAAAGUCCGUGCCUUUGACUACUCAGUAAUUAUUGCUUCCUCUGUAAUGCAGAUAACCACUUUGUGUAUUUGGUGAGCCUGCAUGGCACAGUGAGCCCGCAACUGUGAACUCAGGAAAUUCUGUACCUUCCCGUGCAGUCACUCCCUAGCCAUGCAGGUAUUUCCAGAGCCUGGAGAUCCCAGACUACCUUUCAAAAGAAUGAAUUUCAGAACCAGAGAGGCCCCUGGAGGAGAUACAUGGCAAGCAGCCGUACGAAAUAACAGAAGCCCCAGAGAGGGGAAGCGAUUUCCUGCCUAAGUCAUCCAUCUGUCAGUGGCAAAGCUAGGACUGGAACUCAGGAUUCUCCAUCCCUCUUCCCAAACCUGGCACUAUCUUCCUGGCUUUCUGGGUCUGGAGUCCCAUGCUAGAGGCCCCUGUUUUCAGAGCAGGGCUUCAAGGAUCCUUCCUGGAAAGAUACAGAUUCUUCUCAUGUCACCCAGGCUGGGGUACAGUGGCAUGAUCAUAGCUCACUCUAGCCUAGAACUUCUGGGCUCAAGAGAUCCUCCUGCAUGACCCUCUCAGGUCAGUGCAGUGGUAAGAAGAAGUCGAGAGCCUGGAUUCCAGUGUUGUCCUCAUCAUCUACUAGCUGGGUGACUUCGAGCGAGAUGCCUGCUCUAUGACUGACUCAUUCCUGUCUCAGUAUAAAUGUCACUUCCUCAGGGAAGCCUUCCCUGAUUCUCCGGGUAAAGCUGUUUUCCUGUGGAGAUCGUUCAUGAAUCUGUUCUUCCCACUAACCUCUAGGCUCGAGGGAUAGUGUAGGGCUCUUGCCAUGGAACCUGCCUGCCCCACUCAGCUGCCAUGAGAUUAACGUGCUCACUUUUAUGUCUUAACUCUAGAAGGCAGCAGUCAAAAUUGGAAGAACAAAGAAAGAGAUAGAAAUAAAAUGAAUUUGUGUACAUGUAUCAGCAUGUAUUAAUUGUUCAACAAA